rnacentral:snoRNA from 1 species
UUAUGUGAUGAACAAGAGCAAAAGCUCUAUAAUCCCAGCUCUUCGAACGGUCUCAAUUUUUAAUUCCAACGUAGAGGCCUCAUGAGAAAAUGUCCCAUCUGAUUUU